AUUUAUUUCCCCCAAAACUACGUGCCACCAUAGGUUGGGCUUGAGACCGAGUUUAUGAUGAUUAUGAUUGGGCCCGAGGCUGAAUUUUUUUUAGUGAUCACUAGGCUAGGUUAUACUCCCAGGCAAGAGUAUCUCCCCAACGUGGGGUCUCUUCCUUAGGAAGACAAAAUGUUGUACUCCAUGUAGCUCACAUGGUUUAUGUCAGUUACGAGAACCUCCC
rnacentral:lncRNA from 1 species